rnacentral:tRNA from 4 species
AGGACUAUAGCUCAGUUGGUUAGAGCACUUGCUCGACAUGCAAGGGGUCGUCAGUUCGAAUCUGACUAGUCCUACCA